GCAGUGUUCUACGAGACAAAGUGGGAAGUCAAACGGCUUGCGUGACCUAGGCUACGAUUAACGAGGAAAUAUUAUUCAGUUCCUUGUUUUAGGCCUUUGGUAUGGCACGGUCAGAGUUCGAACCCACAACCUUCUACCGUAGAAUAAUAUUUUUAUCGAGACGGUAAGCUACAUUGGAACAGGAAAUAUUUAUCCAACAAUAUAAAGUUAUCCAGGGAUAAAAUUUCCCGGGAUGUGGGGCUAUAGACAGCAAAAGGUGGAUAACUGUCGUAAGAAAAUUAGGAAAAGUUUGAGCAUCGCAUCUAUGUGUGUGCCGUUAGGAAAAUCUGUCGGAUUAAACUAUGUAUGUGCUGUAUCCAGCUCCUGAAUAGAUGACGGUACAGGUGGUGCUCUACAGAAAUACCGAUCUCGUCAGUCACAGUUGAAGUCUUCACAUUGAAAGACCCAGGCUGUGGCAGCGUGAUGGGAGCUGGCUGGAAAUCAGAGCCAGGUUGGAAGCUAUCAGCAGACGAGAAAUUUGUAAGAUACGUGUAUGCCGACACACCGUCCUGAGGAAGUUCCGGUUGUAGAAUUUGAUGGGUGGAAUCAACACGACACCAGCAGCGACUAUGAAGUGAUGGCCCAGCUUGUCAACACCAUGGACAUGAAGUAUAUAUGUAGGUUUGAAUCCAUCUUACCUAUAACUUUGAUACUAAUGCAACAGGAAGAAAACACCCAAGAACUGCUGCAAUUGUUAAUUUCAUUGUAUGGUGUAAUUAUAUGUAUGCCGAUUUCCCAUUCCAUUACCUUUCAUAAAAUGCAGAAUGUAUCCUAAA